GAUGAACGCUGGCGGCGUGCCUAAUACAUGCAAGUCGAGCGAAUGGAUUAAGAGCUUGCUCUUAUGAAGUUAGCGGCGGACGGGUGAGUAACACGUGGGUAACCUGCCCAUAAGACUGGGAUAACUCCGGGAAACCGGGGCUAAUACCGGAUAACAUUUUGAACCGCAUGUUUCGAAAUUGAAAGGAGGCUUCGGCUGUCACUUAUGGAUGGACCCGCGUCGCAUUCGCUAGUUGGUGAGGUAACGGCUCACCAAGGCAACGAUGCGUAGCCGGCCUGAGAGGGUGAUCGGCCACACUUGGACUGAGACACGGCCCAGACUCCUACGGGAGGCAGCAGUAGGGAAUCUUCCGCAAUGGACGAAAGUCUGACGGAGCAACGCCGCGUGAGUGAUGAAGGCUUUCGGGUCGUAAAACUCUGUUGUUAGGGAAGAACAAGUGCUAGUUGAAUAAGCUGGCACCUUGACGGUACCUAACCAGAAAGCCACGGCUAACUACGUGCCAGCCGCCGCGGUAA
rnacentral:rRNA from 1 species